UACGAGGGGAGCUAGCGUUGUUCGGAAUUACUGGGCGUAAAGGGCGUGUAGGCGGUACCAUAAGUCAGAUGUGAAAGCCCUAGGCUUAACCUAGGAGGUGCAUUUGAUACUGUGGAACUAGAGAUCGAGAGAGGUAAGUGGAAUUACGAGUGUAGAGGUGAAAUUCGUAGAUAUUGGGAAGAACACCGGUGGCGAAGGCGGCGACCUGGUCCUUGACUGACGCUGAGGCGCGAAAGCGUGGGGAGCAAACAGG
rnacentral:rRNA from 1 species